GACGUAGGGCGCGAGCGUUGUCCGGGAUUUUAUUGGGCGUAAAGAGCUCGUAGGCGGUUUUGUCGCGUCUGCUGUGAAAUCUCAGGGCUUAACCCUGAGCUUGCAGUGGGGUACGGGGCAGACUAGAGUGCGGUAGGGGAGACUGGAAUUCCUGGUGUAGCGGUGAAAAUGCGCAGAUAUCAGGGAGGAACACCCGGUGGGCGAAGGCGGCUACCCUGGACAGG
rnacentral:rRNA from 1 species